UACACACCGCCCGUCACACCAUGGGAGUUGGUUCGACCUUAAGCCGGUGCGCGAACCCAGCGAUGGGACGCAGCCGACCACGGUCGGGUUAGUGACUGGGGUG
rnacentral:rRNA from 1 species